UACAGAGGGGGCAAGCGUUAUUCGGAAUUAUUGGGCGUAAAGGGCGCGUAGGCGGCUUUGCAAGUGACGGGUGAAAUCCCUCGGCUUAACCGAGGAACUGCCUGUCAGACUGCAUGGCUUGAGACCAGGAGAGGUGAGUGGAAUUCCCAGUGUAGCGGUGAAAUGCGUAGAUAUUGGGAGGAACACCAGUGGCGAAGGCGGCUCACUGGACUGGUACUGACGCUGAGGCGCGAAAGUGUGGGGAGCGAACAGG
rnacentral:rRNA from 1 species